GAUGAACGCUGGCGGCGUGCCUAAUACAUGCAAGUCGAGCGAACGGACGAGAAGCUUGCUUCUCUGAUGUUAGCGGCGGACGGGUGAGUAACACGUGUAUAACCUACCUAUAAGACUGGGAUAACUUCGGGAAACCGGAUCUAAUACCGUAUAAUAUUUUGAACCGCAUGGUUCAAAAGUGAAAGACGGUCUUGCUGUCACUUAUAGAUGGAUCCGCGCUGCAUUAGCUAGUUGGUAAGGUAACGGCUUACCAAGGCAACGAUGCAUAGCCGACCUGAGAGGGUGAUCGGCCACACUGGAACUGAGACACGGUCCAGACUCCUACGGGAGGCAGCAGUAGGGAAUCUUCCGCAAUGGGCGAAAGCCUGACGGAGCAACGCCGCGUGAGUGAUGAAGGUCUUCGGAUCGUAAAACUCUGUUAUUAGGGAAGAACAGAUGUGUAAGUAACUGUGCACAUCUUGACGGUACCUAAUCAGAAAGCCACGGCUAACUACGUG
rnacentral:rRNA from 1 species